GACGAACGCUGGCGGCGUGCUUAACACAUGCAAGUCGAACGGAAAGGCCCCUUUGGGGGUACUCGAGUGGCGCACGGGUGAGUAACACGUGAGUAACCUGCCCUUGACUUCGGGAUAACUUCAGGAAACUGGGGCUAAUACCGGAUAGGAAUCCUUGCUGCAUGGCGGGGGUUGGAAAGCUUCGGCGGUUAUGGAUGGACUCGCGGCGUAUCAGCUUGUUGGUGGGGUAGUGGCUUACCAAGGCGUUGACGUGUAGCCGGCCUGAGAGGGCGACCGGCCACAUUGGGUCUGAGAGGCGGCCCAGGCUCCUACGGGAGGCAGCAGUGGGGAAUAUUGCACAAUGGGCGGAAGCCGGAUGCAGCAACGCCGCGUGCGGGAUGACGGCCUUCGGGUUGUAAACCGCUUUCAGCAGGGGCGAAGCUUGUGGUGACGGUACCUGCAGAAGAAGCACCGGCUAACUACGUG
rnacentral:rRNA from 1 species